GUGCAGGGUUGAGCCCGGGGGAUUGGCCAACAGCUUCUGGGCCGUGAAGCGACAGAAAUGAAGAACAGCUCCAAGCAGGGGCAGCUUCUUGGAAUGGAAAUGUGCCAGCUGAAGCCCCAAUUUCGAUUUCGAAACAGGGAAAGCCCCGCCCUAGAAAUGGCUGAGGAGCAGGCUUCUGGAGACGCCAUGGUACAAGAGCCACCCUGCCCACCCUGAGUGCCAACCUCCAGACUAUCACUUGGAUGGAAAGACAUUUCUAUCUGGUCUAAGUCACUGGCACUCACAGUCAUGCCUAACUAAUAAACCCUGGAUCAGAGGAGGCAA